rnacentral:lncRNA from 1 species
AGGCAUGAGCCACCGCGCCUGGAGCCCAGCUAAUUUUUUAUGUAUUUUUGUGGAGACAUAGUUUCGCCAUUUUAGCCAGGGUGGUCGCGAACUUGUGAGCUCAAUCAAUCCACCUGCCUCAGCCUCCCAAAGUGCUGGGAUUACAGGUGUGAGACUCCUCGCCUGGCCAAAAUCCAGAUUCUUAAGCCGUCCUCAGAGCCCUCCUGAUCACAUUCAGGUAGCAGGAGUUGGUGAAGAUAGAAACAAAGGGAUAGCUGAGGAGCUCAGCAGUACCACACAUAGCCUCUCCCAGCUGAUACCCCCUCCCAACCUACCCCUAUGUAUUUACACACACACACACACACACACACACAUGCUCACACACCAUCAGGCUGGGUGUGGUGGCUCAUGCCUAUAAUCCCAGCACUUUGAGAGGCUAAACCAGAAGGAUGGCUUGAGCCCAGGAGUUUGAGACCAGCCUGGGCAUCAUAGUGAGACCCUGUCUCUACAAAAAAAUAAAAUUAGCUGGGUGUGGUGGCAUGAGCCUGUAGCCCCAGCUACUCUGGAGGCUGAGGAGGGAGGAUCACUUGAGCCCAGGAGUUUGAGGCUGCAGGGAUCGGGCCAUGAUCACUCCACUGCACUCCAGCCUGGGUGACAGGGCAAGACCCUGACUCAAAUAAUAAUAAUUAAUACUAACAAUAAAAGAAAAAAGACACACCAUCAACCAGACACACCUCCCUCCAUACAUUCUUGUCCCAGCAUGCAGAUGCAUGAACAUCUGUGCACCCACAAAAUCUCAGAGCUCCGCCCCCAGUCAUCCCACCAAACUCCUAGACACACGGCCGCCACGGAGACACACACAAACGUAUGAUUUCCAGCCCUGCCUCCAGACCCACUUAGAGAACUGUAGAGACUGGGAUGGGUGUGCACACACACACAGAGAUACAGUCCCCUAAGAAGCUCCACGCCUUGGCAGCCACGCAGCCCCUGGGAAGGGGACCCUAGGGAUGGGGCUCAACGCACAACCCCAUGCCCACCCCAGCGCUCCCCCGCCCGGCCGGCUGGCGGGCUUUAAUACAGAUGCCAAACUCAUAAUUGUAACUGAGGGUGACAGGG